rnacentral:sRNA from 16 species
GCGUCCGCGUCGUGGAACGGCCCGACGCGCGGAAGGGCCCGCCAGCUAGGCUGCCCCUGUGCGCCGCCCGUCACCGGGGCAGCGCAAAGCCGACAGCCGUCGCACCUCAGGGAGCACACCCAUG